GCUGAGUUGGGUAACGCCAGCUUGUAACUCAAGUGAGGGCAUUACGGUGGUGGGAUAAUACUGUGGUUUCACUGGGUUGGGCUUUGAUUGCAAAAUGCUGGUCUGCCCACUCCAAGUUGAGAGCUGACCCACGGGUCCUGAGCGAAGGCUUGGGUCUCUUGAGUCCUAAAGUGGAUGGCAAUGCGUAAGGCUGGUUUCACAGAGCAGCGAAAACCUCCCUCUCCCGACAGUGGAGGGAUAGCAGACUGCUGUAUUCAUGGCCCUGUAUGCUCAGUGAGCCCAGCUUACUUAGACCACCCACUGUU
rfam:Vigna angularis cultivar Jingnong 6 scaffold186_20, whole genome shotgun sequence.